CCUACGGGUGGCAGCAGUGAGGAAUAUUGGUCAAUGGACGAGAGUCUGAACCAGCCAAGUAGCGUGAAGGAUGACUGCCCUAUGGGUUGUAAACUUCUUUUAUAUGGGAAUAAAAUGUUCCACGUGUGGGAUUUUGUAUGUACCAUAUGAAUAAGGAUCGGCUAACUCCGUGCCAGCAGCCGCGGUAAUACGGAGGAUCCGAGCGUUAUCCGGAUUUAUUGGGUGUAAAGGGGGCGUAGAUGGAAUGGUAAGUCAGUUGUGAAAGCUCGCGGCCCAACCGCCGGACUGCAGUUGAAACUGGAAGGCUGGAGUACAGGAGAGGUAGGCGGAAUUCGUAGUGUAGCGGUGAAAUGCGUAGAUAUUACGAGGAACACCGGUGGCGAAGGCGGCUCACUGGACUGUAACUGACGUUGAGGCCCGAAAGCGUGGGGAGCAAACAGGAUUAGAUACCCUUGUAGUC
rnacentral:rRNA from 1 species